AGAUUAGUGCCUUAUGGGUUUUGUUUGGGCCAUGGGCUGUCACAACCACUGCUACAGAUAGCCCAUUUUGUAUUGUCAUAUGAUGGGACCAAUAAGGAGCAGGGUGUGUGUGAGGACGAUUCCUGGAAACCAGUUUGUCAGUCUUUGCCUUUAACCUAUGAUUUUUAGCCAGGCAUAAAGGAGGAAAUUACGAGGAAGAGCUUUUGUUGUUUCCUGGUGAAAUGAGAAGCCCUGCGAAUGGGAAGUUUGCUCAAACUGUUCCUAAAAAGCAGAGCUGGGCCUGCCCCUGGCUUGGCCUCCUUUCACUGGGACAGGUCAAGGCAUCCUAGGCAAAGGGUAGGAAGUUUAUGAGAAAGCUGGUCUAACCUCACAUAUCUUAUGUCUUCCCUCCACACUAUUAAUAGACACUUAAAAUUAUUUCAUUCCAGUCUCCUAUAGCCAGGGAAAAAAGCCUCAUCUGAAUCAUUGGAUUUUUAGUUAAAAGGGAGAAAUUAUAGUCUUUCUUCAAUAUGUGGUACUGUUUUGAAAAUAAAUAUAAUUCAGUUCCUUGGCAAGUUUAGAAAUGGGGUUUCAGAAGUGACUGUCAUCUUUUAAAUACUUACUAUGCAAUUGGUUUUAUUUAUUUAAGAAUAUUGAAUGUUUUUCUUUUGAUCUCACAAGCAUUGUUCUAUGUCUUCAAUGUCUCAUCUACUGUAUACAAAGCUUUCUUUGAGCAGAUUAUCUGUUUUACAUAUUUCUCUAACUCAGUAAAAGUAUUAAACAUAUGCAUGCACAGGCCUGUGUGUGCACACCCCUUUUUACCUUUGCUCCAGGCACGUUUACGUGUGACUGUGAAUGACCCGCUAGGGACAGUGAAGACAUCAGGGAAGGAAGCGCCCCUCAGGCUUCUCUUUUUCAUCUUCCCCACAUCCGUCUGGUUGUUUGGCAAUGGCAGUGUAUGUCAGCACCCAACAGUUCUCUCUCAUCUGGGUUCUUGUUCCGUUGCUCUUGAGCCAGCUUGGGUUACUUCUUCCUGUGCUCUUGCAGUCGUGAUCUGUGUCUGGAGGUACCAUGGUGCCGUGAGUGCUGCCAGUGGGUCUCGGGUACAGGCAGAUGUGCCAUGUAUUUUUACUAAGUCGUAAACCCUCUUGACAUUUGGGUACUAUGUUUCAUCUGUUAACAAGGCUGAGGGUAAGGAAGAUAAUGCCUAUAAAUUUUAUUAUUGAGCUUCUAGACUGCUCAGACCAAAGUCAAUGAUUUGUGGGGCUGGAUGAAGAACACUGUCUACUGCCAGUCAUAUAAAGAACAUUAUUUGAGUCAAGUUCGAAGCCUACUUGCUUGCUUCCUGAAUGCCAGCAGCUGCGAUGUAUAUAUUACAGUAUGUUUGCUAUUCCUUCCAAUCUGUGCUGAAAUACGGGAAAAAAUUUUUCUAACUCACUGCUUUGUUCCAGAAAUGGCUGGAAUGUGAACAGAUAGCUGCAUGGAUGUUUGUGACCAUGCUUGUGCUCCCAGGAGUAGCCAGCAUCUAGUGUCCAGUUUGGCCAGCAUAUGCAAAGUUGCAGACUACGUGGCAGGCUGGCUGUCGUAUGGUUAGUUGUGGUAGAGCCCGUUCUACAACCAACAGGCUUGCCUUAGCUGCUCUAAAUACUGUGACAGAGCAACUCCAUUCUCCUGGAAGAGGCGACAGAGGAAUGUUUGCCUUUCUGAUAGCUUUGGUUGCUGUGGAAAACAGGCUUGUUUUCCAAACCUCCCUAGAGUUCUCCCUGCUCUUUUCUCGGAGCUUGCUUUUGGUAAGUGGGUCUCUAGUUCUGACGUCUGGGCUUCUCUUGUCUUGGACUGUGGACUCUGCACAUGGCAUUCAGAUGGUUUUCUGUGUGUCGAAAUAAAAGCAUGUGAGGGUAGUUCCUGCCCGGAGGACUCUCUCGGAGUCCAUGCUUUCCUGGUUUGAAUGUACGCAGUUGUCUCUCAAGAAAAGUGACCCUCUCACCCAUCUCCCCACCAGCUCAGUGAAUGAGUGCCCGCUGCGGUUCUUCACUUUGGAUCUUGUAGACUCUACAUUAGACAUCGCUUUUCUUCAGGGCUCUGAGGUCGUGUUCUCUUGACAUGGACAAAAAUAGUGCUGGUCAGAGGGUAGGGCGGCUGGGUCACCUCAGGCCCAGAGUGGCCAAGCAGGGACUUGAGAAGAAGGUGCUGCUCUUUGCUUUUCUGUCCAAGCUGUCCAGCACCUGAUCUAGUGCCUCUUCCCUGCAGGGCAGGGACCCCUAGUGAAUUGGAGCCAAUGAUGGGUGUGGGCCUUGUGGCUGUGACUCAGUGGGGCUCAGGUUAAGGUCCCCCUUGAAUUUGGAUGCGAAUAACCAACAGAUAUCAAGUACCUGUGAAACUGCUUCACUGCUUCUCUCUCUCUGAGAGGGAAACAAAUAAUAUUUUUCAGGAUAUUUUGUUUUAGUGUUAAGUAGCAUCCCACAAGCUGCGUUUUUAUUUAUUACACGCACAAAAAGUAAAUGUGUUUCUACAAAAUAAAAAGUCUAGAGUUGGACACUCUGGGCAAACUUACUGAGAUGCACAAAUGUUUCUCUCUCUCUCUGUGAUGUGCAAUAUGCUUGGCGACCAUAGAUAUUUCAUGUUUAAUCUGUAAAUAUGAACUGUAUUUAAAUUAAAUGAGAGAUUUUUGUAAAAGGACCAGACGUUCUUUUAUAAAUGUACUAAGGAAUAUCUUGUUCUUUGAAAUUUAUUAGGAUUUUUAUGGAUAAUUUUUAUUAAAAGAUUCUCUUUUUGAGUUGUCA
rnacentral:lncRNA from 1 species